rnacentral:rRNA from 1 species
UACGUAGGGUGCAAGCGUUAAUCGGAAUUACUGGGCGUAAAGCGUGCGCAGGCGGUUGUGCAAGACAGAUGUGAAAUCCCCGGGCUUUACCUGGGAACUGCAUUUGUGACUGCACGGCUAGAGUGCGGCAGAGGGGGAUGGAAUUCCGCGUGUAGCAGUGAAAUGCGUAGAUAUGCGGAGGAACACCGAUGGCGAAGGCAAUCCCCUGGGCCUGCACUGACGCUCAUGCACGAAAGCGUGGGGAGCAAACAGG